rnacentral:sRNA from 1 species
CUCCAAAAUUUGACUUUUAUUCCAAGCAAGAUGGGCACCUCUGGAAGGGUUUACCCAGAGAUGCCACACGAAGAUGCCUAUGUGAAGGCACAGUCGAGGUUGGUAGCCUGGAAAGUUGGAAGAAUGGAUGGGCCAUUCUCUGAGAGGAAGCAGCUUCUAGGCUGGAGAUAUACAGGAAAACACCAAAUGGCGGAUGAUGCCGGUGCAGCGGAAGGGCCCAGAGGACCCGGGAGCCCAGCAUUAGGAGGCAUCGUGGCUGAGGCCGUGGCCUUGGCCGUGGUCGAGGCCGCGGGGCUUGUAGAGGUAAAGCUGAAGACAAGGAGUGGAUCCCAUCACUAAGCUGGGCCGCCUGGACAUGAAGAUCAAGUCCUUGGAGGAGAUCUACCUGUUCUCCCUGCCCAUUAAGGAGUCUGAGAUUACUGACUUUUUCCUGGGUGCAUCUCUAAAGGAUGAGGUUCUGAAAAUCAUGCCAGUGCGGAAGCAGACUCAGGCUGGCCGGCGGACCAGGUUCAAAGCUUUUGUCACUAUUGGGGACUACAAUGGCCACGUUGGUCUUGGUGUUAAGUGCUCCAAGGAGGUAGCCACUGCCAUCUGAGGGGCCAUUACCCUGGCCAAGCUUUCGAUCGUCCCAGUGCGGAGAGGCUACUGGGGGAACAAGACUGGCAAGCCCCACACUGUGCCAUGCAAGGUGACAGGCCGCUGUGGCUCUGUGCUGGUGUGUCCCAUCCCCGCCCCCAGAGGCACUGGCAUUGUGUCUGCUCCUGUGCCCAAGAAGCUACUGAUGAUGAUGGCCGGUAUAGAUAACCGCUACACUUCAGCCAGGGGCUGCACUGUCACCCUGGGCAACUUUGCCAAGGCCACCUUUGAUACCAUCUCCAUGAUGUACAGCUAUUGACCCCUGACCUCUGGAAAGAGAGACUGUGUUCACCAAGUCUUCUUAUCAGGAAUUCACUGACCACCUUGUGAAAACCCACAUCAGAGUCUCUGUUCAGAGGACCCAGGCUCCAGCUGUGGCCACCACAUAAGGGUUUUUAUACAAG